AUCACAAUGGCGACGCGUGGGCCGUGGACAGAGUCACCUUGGAGAGUGACGAUAGUGCAGGUGUGGAUGGUGUGCGUGGUGGAUUAAGCUCCGAUCUCACUUCUACACGAAGAAAGAGACCCUUGGCAAGUAGUGCGAUGUUACAGGCUGAAUCAUUUUAUUAUUAUUCACUAGUGCAUUUCGUUCAUCCUAGAAAUUUCUAGAAAUUUCGGAUAUGUAUCUAUUUAUAGACCAAGAUCAUAUAAUAUUUUUUGUUUGAAAGAGUAUCGAAAACACAUCUACAAAAAUUCCUUAUUCAAAAUAUGAUUGGAUUUCAGAUUUUUAUUUUUGUACAAAAUUGAUUUACAUUAACUUAUUUCAAUCAAAUUCAUUUCAACACAAUACCAUUCUGCAUCACAAUUACCACAACUUUGAUUGUUUCUUUCUCUAUUAUUAUUUCAAAAAUACAAAAAAAUAACCCGUUCAAAAGCAACAAUUUUCAUAAUUCCAAAACAACGAAACAUCAAUGUCUCCUUACGUAAUAGACAGAGCUUUUAAAGUCUUAAAACUGAAGCAGCUUAUUAAGUUAUUUAUAGUAUUAUCUUAAUAAUUGCUUAACAAGUUUACGACUCAGUCAUUACUCCGAUUGCAUCUAAACUGUUGUUAAAAUGUAAGAAUUUUAAUGGAAUUGUAUUGUUGAAUUGGGCUGUAAUAAAUGGUUAGAUUCUUAAAAA